rnacentral:rRNA from 1 species
GGACCCGCACAAGUAGUGGAGCAUGUGGUUUAAUUCGAAGAUACGCGCAGAACCUUACCAACACUUGACAUGUUCGUCGCGACUUUAAGAGAUUAAAGUUUUCGGUUCGGCCGGACGAAACACAGGUGCUGCAUGGCUGUCGUCAGCUCGUGUCGUGAGAUGUUGGGUUAAGUCCCGCAACGAGCGCAACCCUCACUUUUAGUUGCCAUCAUUUAGUUGGGCACUCUGAAAGAACUGCCAGUGAUAAGCUGGAGGAAGGUGGGGAUGACGUCAAGUCCUCAUGGCCCUUACGUGUUGGGCUACACACGUGCUACAAUGGUAUCUACAACAGGAAGCAAGACUGCGAAGUUAAGCAAAUCCCUAAAAUGUACCUCAGUUCGGAUUGUACUCUGUAACUCGAGUGCAUGAAGCUGGAAUUGCUAGUAAUCGC